rnacentral:rRNA from 1 species
AACGAACGCUGGCGGCAUGCCUAACACAUGCAAGUCGAACGAGACCUUCGGGUCUAGUGGCGCACGGGUGCGUAACACGUGGGAAUUUGCCUCGGGGUAUGGAAUAAACUCAGGGAAACUUGAGCUAAUACCAUAUAAUGUCUUCGGACCAAAGAUUUAUCGCCCUGAGAUAAGCCCGCGUAGGAUUAGCUAGUUGGUGAGGUAAAGGCUCACCAAGGCGACGAUCCUUAGCUGGUCUGAGAGGAUGAUCAGCCACACUGGGACUGAGACACGGCCCAGACUCCUACGGGAGGCAGCAGUGGGGAAUAUUGGACAAUGGGCGAAAGCCUGAUCCAGCAAUGCCGCGUGAGUGAUGAAGGCCUUAGGGUUGUAAAGACUCUUUUACCCGAGAUGAUAAUGACAGUAUCGGGAGAAUAAGACUCCGGCUAACUCCGUGCCAGCAGCCGCGGUAAAGUCGUACGA